rnacentral:lncRNA from 1 species
GAUAACUAAUAAAAAUUAAAUGAUAAAUCACUAUUAAAGUUAACAAACGUUCCUUAACUAAGAGACAUUUUAUUCACCUAAGAGGUGGACACGUGUCUCACUAUCAAUCGUCGCGUUUUCUCUGCCUCUCUCUCUCUUCUUGCGACUGAGAAACCGAAGAACCAAAAUCUUCAAAUCUUCGUCUCCUCUGUUGAUUGUUACAGCCGGUGAAUCAAAGGAUGGCAUCUUCUUCCUCUCUCUCUCUCUCUCUCACGUGUUUCUCUUCAAAGGUGAAGGAGAUCAUUUGGAGUUUAAUCGGACAAGUCUCCGAUGUAGAAACGAAGAAGAUUACUUCAAUUGAGAUUGAGAGGCAUAGAGAGAGAUUUGAUUAUUCGAUCGAAUCAAGCUUUGUUUGUUAGUAGCGGGAAUAGCUUAUGAAGAAAUCUCAAUCCAAGCACUAAUUGAGCGGUCACACUAAUCCAUGGCUAUGUCAAUUACUAGUAAAUAUCAUAUUCUGCAAUCUAGUUUGAAGUAUAGGUUAAUUGUGGUCAGAUUAUAACAUCAAUGAUGAUGAUGAUUUCCUAAACAAUGCUUCGUGAUUUCAUAGUUCGAACUCCUAAUUGACAAUUAAAGGAACAAUAUGGUGAGGAUUGAGACGACGGAGUGAAGACGGUGAUGAAUCGAAGACUGAAUGAGGUUUGUGGAUGCAGGUUUGCUAUGUUGCGUUUUGGGAUGAAGUUACUCUUGCAACACAAGAAGCAGAGGGGUCAUAAGAUCAAUGAGAAUGAUCACAUUGGAAAGUGGCGUAUAAUGAUUGUAAAGGAUCUGCCUUUUACAGACCAAAGGCUUACUUUCUUUUCUCAAGUGAGUUAUUAGAGUUGUUGAAUGUGUAAGAGAGUCCAGCUCUUGUUUGUAAGUUUAGUCGAAUCUCUAGAAGUCUAAGUGAGUCUAAGUGUGUGUAGUUAGUAGAAGAGUAACUAACUACUAUAAGAAUGCUAUGUGUGUGAUGUUGUAAGAUCAUUUUUGAUCCAAUAAUAAAAAUGUAGUCAAUUAAAAGAGUUAUCUCUUCUCUCUUAGUUACAAAACGUUUUGU